rnacentral:rRNA from 1 species
AUUGAACGCUGGCGGCAUGCCUUACACAUGCAAGUCGAACGGUAACAGGUCUUCGGAUGCUGACGAGUGGCGAACGGGUGAGUAAUACAUCGGAACGUGCCCGAUCGUGGGGGAUAACGAAGCGAAAGCUUUGCUAAUACCGCAUAAGAUCUACGGAUGAAAGCAGGGGACCGCAAGGCCUUGCGCGAACGGAGCGGCCGAUGGCAGAUUAGGUAGUUGGUGGGAUAAAAGCUUACCAAGCCGACGAUCUGUAGGUGGUCUGAGAGGACGACCAGCCACACUGGGACUGAGAAACGGCCCAGACUCCUACGGGAGGCAGCAGUGGGGAAUUUUGGACAAGGGGCGCAAGCCUGAUCCAGCCAUGCCGCGUGCAGGAUGAAGGCCUUCGGGUUGUAAACUGCUUUUGUACGGAACGAAAAGACUCUUUCUAAUAAAGAGGGUCCAUGACGGUACCGUAAGAAUAAGCACCGGCUAACUACGUGCCAGCCGCCGCAGUAACAC